CCCCAUCUCUACUAAAAAUACAAAAUUAGCUGGGCAUAGUGGCGCAUGCCUGUAAAUAAUUAUGCUUUACACUUGGAUGUCUCAAGGUAGCGCUGGAGUAGUUAUUCUGAGCUACUGGAAUAUCAGCGAGUGCCACCUCCAGAGGGAGCUUCCCAGAGCCCAGCCCUGUACCAUCUCUGAGCUUCCAGGAGUCCCCAGCUCUCCAGCCGCAGAAUAAAACCUGCCUGGAAGCUGGCACUGGAGGGUCUCCAUGGGCCCAGCCUAACCUGUCCACACCCUCCCAGGGCUCCCCCUUCUACCACCCACACUUCUGGCCAGACUAUAGUGCCACUUGCUUAUCACACCCAGCCCAUUCCCAGGUGUUCCCAUUCAGUUUUCUGAUUCCACCAUCACUACUGCCUCUACCAACAUCCCAACCGACCCUUCAGGCCCAGCUCAAAUGAGACCUCUCCGAGGAGUUUCCCAGAUCCCCCUACCCAGGAAUGACCUGCUCCCCUAUCUCCCUAUGCAUGCCUCCCUAUGGUUCUAGCUGAUGUCUACUAGGCCUGGCUUCACCUAUGAGGCUGGGGUCAGGGUGGUUUCAUGGAUGUGUGACCUUGUGCAGUCUCACAAGGCUCACAAUUGGCUUCGCACUCUGCUGUUGCCAUCGUGAAAUCCUCAAUGAUUUAUGUGCCGCAAGGAGCUCCCAAUUUUCAUUUUGCACUGGGCCUGCAAACUGCAAACUGCAGAUGUGGUCCUGCUGAGGACUUCUCAAGGAUGAGGCUUUGGUUUAUCUCUGCAUCUCACAGACUGCAGCAGUGACUGGGACACAGUAAGGACUUAACAAAGGAGGGAAGGUGGGUAAUCAAGUUUUUAAAAUGAAAAUAAAGGAUUGCUGAAUAAAUGAACAACCAGAGAGGCGGCCACCAGCCAAGGACAAACAAAGCUGAAUCUGGAACACUGGCUUCCUGCUGUCCUCUCAGACUAAACGCAGACAAAUAAACGUCACCUUACCUACCCACCAGUGUCUCAGCAAGGAAGGAGAGAGAGAAGGAAACGUCACCUUACCUACCCACCAGUGUCUCAGCAAGGAAGGAGAGAGAGAAGGAGGUGAAAGUGCACUGAAGACCUAAUACACAAUGUAUACUUAAGCGGGACUGUCAGGGGACAAAGAACCAGAGCCAGUGGACAAAACCUCCGUUCCCAAACUCCAAGCCACCAAUGGAAGGCCUCACAUAGGAAGCUGUGGGUGGAAGAUGGUGCGUUUCUACUGCCUGGUGGUUUUAGAUCUCUAUCGCCUACUCAGAAUCUGAACCCUAGCCUGUGUGUGUGAGAGGCUGCACGUGCACAUACAAAAACAGCAAGGUGAGGAAGCUGAGGCUCCAAGACACUAGGCAACUUACCUAAGCGUCACAGCUCAGAAACAGAAGCAGAUUUGGAGGCCAGAUCUGGGAGGCCACAAGGCUGGGUCCUUGGCACAGCCUCUACCUCCUCUCCAGGUCAUCUCCUGCAACCCCUCCCUGACCCAGCCACUGUCCAGUCACCACGGUGCCCAUGGUCACCUGGCACACCUGGCUGUGUCCUACAUUAAUGCAUAUCCUCACGCUUCUGCUUCUCCUGCCUGGAACGCACCUACCUAUCACCUAAUGAACUUCUACUCAGCCCAGAAAGCUCUGCUCUCAAGUUAUCUCCUUCAGGAGACAGACCUUCACCCCGGGGCCCCCUUCCAUAAGAGAAAAACGAUCCCCUUUGGCUGGGCAUGGUGGCUCACGCCUGUAAUCCUAACACUUUGGGAGGCCAA
rnacentral:lncRNA from 1 species